CUUGCCAUGCCACUGCCUGGGCACUAAAUUUCACAAAGUUAAAUCUCUUUUUGUGUCUCAAUUGCUCCUGAAAGACACAGCAUCUGUAUUUUAGUCAAUGUUAAAAGAAAGAAUACUUGUAUCUGAAAUACUGAUUAGCAGGAGUUGUCUUAAUUAAUGUACAGUUGAUUAUAUGGUUACAAUAACUUAUGAUAAUAGUUAUGAUAUACAAAGAGACAUACAGAGACAGAGGAAAUUAUUGCCUGCAAUUAUUAAGAUUACUUGAACUUCCUGAGUAAAUGACAAACAUUUCAACACCAAUGUAAAAUAAUACAAACUGAUUUCAUGUGACAGAACACGCACCUUCGUUCCACUCGUCUGAGAGCCAUCCUCAUUUUCUCUUCAUAUUGCUUAUACUUUUCUGUACUGAUGUAUACAUGAACUACAGAGCCAUCUUUCCAGAAGCUAGCAAGAACAGAAGCUUAACAAACAAUGUAAUGGUAGCACUUGAGAAAAACAAAAAGAAGACAAAUGAAACCAAAUUUGUUCAAGGACCUGCAAACACUGGAGCAGCUGAGACCAAUACUUCUCCAAAGGAAAAUUAAAGAUGACAAGCGAUCUUUGCCCUAUGUCACAUAAAUACAUAGAAAAACAAGGCAUUGCUUAAGUCAGCCCUGAUUCUUCCUUGCAGAUUACAGGUGGACCAGGAAGGAAGCCUUGAAACUGUCAUUUUCAAAUAGCCCUUUGAAACACUCUUAUUUAUGACCAUCUUUUUCCCAUUCCACUAAUGACCUGGUUUUAACAAAAAAUACAUAGCAACAGACCAUACACUUUAUCAGAAAUACAUCUAUCAGUCAAGUUUUCAAGUUUAAAAGAAAAAUCAAUCAACUCAAAGGACAUGAGGGAAAAUAAACAGUACUCACAGCAUCAG